rnacentral:rRNA from 1 species
GACGAACGCUGGCGGCGUGCUUAACACAUGCAAGUCGAACGGAAAGGCCCUGCUUUUGUGGGGUGCUCGAGUGGCGAACGGGUGAGUAACACGUGAGUAACCUGCCCUUGACUUUGGGAUAACUUCAGGAAACUGGGGCUAAUACCGGAUAGGAGCUCCUGCUGCAUGGUGGGGGUUGGAAAGUUUCGGCGGUUGGGGAUGGACUCGCGGCUUAUCAGCUUGUUGGUGGGGUAGUGGCUUACCAAGGCUUUGACGGGUAGCCGGCCUGAGAGGGUGACCGGCCACAUUGGGACUGAGAUACGACCCAGACUCCUACGGGAGGCAGCAGUGGGGAAUAUUGCACAAUGGGCGGAAGCCUGAUGCAGCAACGCCGCGUGCGGGAUGACGGCCUUCGGGUUGUAAACCGCUUUCGCCUGUGACGAAGCGUGAGUGACGGUAAUGGGUAAAGAGGCACCGGCUAACUACGUG